GCUCGGGUGGCGGAAUGGUAGACGCGUACGUUUGAGGGGCGUAUGGGGUAACCUGUGGGGGUUCGAGUCCCCCCCCGAGCA
rnacentral:tRNA from 1 species